rnacentral:rRNA from 1 species
GCCAAAAACCUAGCCCCUCAAACCCCAAUGAACCACUAAACCUUAUUUUCUAAACUAAAACAUUCUAUUAGCUUAGUAAAGGCGAUUGAAAAACUUAUAGGCGCAAUAAAAAUAGUACCGCAAGGGAAAGGUGAAAUAAAAAUGAAAAAAAUAUUAAGCACAUAAAAGUAGAGAUUAACCCUCGUACCUUUUGCAUCAUGGUUUAACUAGUCUAACCAAGCAAAACGAUUUACAGUUUGACCUCCCGAAACUAAGUGAGCUACUUCAGGGCAGCUUAUUGAGCAAACCCGUCUCUGUUGCAAAAGAGUGGGAAGACCCUCAAGUAGGGGUGACAGACCUAACGAACUUAGUGAUAGCUGGUUACUCAAGAAAAGGAUUUUAGUCCAGCCUAAAGUUAUACUAAUACAAAAAAAUUUUCUCAUGACUUUAGAGUAAUUCAAAUAAGGUACAGCCUAUUUGAAAAAGGAUACAACCUAAACUAACGGGUAAACUCAAAAGUUCUAUAAUUAAGUGGGCCUAAAAGCAGCCACCUUUAGAACAGCGUCAAAGCUUUAUUAUUACACUUAUUCAAUAUCUUAAAACUCCCCAAACCCUUUACUCCUAUUGAGUAAUUCUAUAUUUCUAUAGAACAUAUAAUGUUAAAACUAGUAACAAGAAGAAGACCUUCUCUUAAAUGCAAGUGUAAAUCAGCAAGGACUAACCGCUGAUAAUUAACACCCAUGAAAUCAUAUUAGUAACCCCACAAGAAAAUUCUAAUAAACUUUGUGUUAACCUAACACAAGAGCAUUUCAAGAAAGAUUGAAAGAAAAAGAAGGAACUCGGCAAAUAUUAACCUCGCCUGUUUACCAAAAACAUCGCCUCUUGAAUAAUUAUAAGAGGUCCAGCCUGCCCAGUGACUCUGUUCAACGGCCGCGGUAUCCUAACCGUGCGAAGGUAGCGUAAUCACUUGUUCUUUAAAUGAGGACUCGUAUGAAUGGCACCACGAGGGUUAUACUGUCUCCUUUUUCUAAUCAGUGAAACUAAUCUCCCCGUGAAGAAGCGGGGAUUAGCAUAUAAGACGAGAAGACCCUAUGGAGCUUUAAACUCAAUAACAAAUACUACCCACUUUAAACUUUCAGAGCAAAAACCUUUACUUUAGUACUAUGAUUAUUAGUUUUAGGUUGGGGUGACCGCGGAGUAAAAAUUAACCUCCACAUUGAACGGGACUAGUCCCUGAGCAAUAAACUACGACUUUAAGCACCAAUAAAUUGACAUCAAUUGACCCAAUAUUUUGAUCAACGAACCAAGUUACCCUAGGGAUAACAGCGCAAUCCACUUCAAGAGCUCCUAUCGACAAGUGGGUUUACGACCUCGAUGUUGGAUCAGGGUAUCCCAGUGGUGCAGCCGCUACUAAAGGUUCGUUUGUUCAACGAUUAAAACCCUACGUGAUCUGAGUUCAGACCGGAGUAAUCCAGGUCAGUUUCUAUCUAUAACGGAGCUCUUUCCAGUACGAAAGGACCGAAAAAGCAUGGCCCAUACUUUAUGCAUGCCAUAAUUAAUAAUUUAUGAUUAAACCUUAAUAAACAAUUAACCCACCAAACAGCCCUAAAAAAGAGCA